rnacentral:rRNA from 1 species
GUGCUUGCACCGAGCGGAUGAGUUGCGAACGGGUGAGUAACGCGUAGGUAACCUGCCUCUUAGCGGGGGAUAACUAUUGGAAACGAUAGCUAAUACCGCAUAAAGGUCGACAUCGCAUGAUGUUGACUUGAAAGGUGCAAUUGCAUCACUAAGAGAUGGACCUGCGUUGUAUUAGCUAGUUGGUGAGGUAACGGCUCACCAAGGCGACGAUACAUAGCCGACCUGAGAGGGUGAUCGGCCACACUGGGACUGAGACACGGCCCAGACUCCUACGGGAGGCAGCAGUAGGGAAUCUUCGGCAAUGGGGGCAACCCUGACCGAGCAACGCCGCGUGAGUGAAGAAGGUUUUCGGAUCGUAAUGCUCUGUUGUAAGAGAAGAACGAGUGUGAGAGUGGAAAGUUCACACUGUGACGGUAACUUACCAGAAAGGGACGGCUAACUACGUGCCAGCAGCCGCGGUAAUACGUAGGUCCCGAGCGUUAUCCGGAUUUAUUGGGCGUAAAGCGAGCGCAGGCGGUUAGAUAAGUCUGAAGUUAAAGGCUGUGGCUUAACCAUAGUACGCUUUGGAAACUGUUUAACUUGAGUGCAGAAGGGGAGAGUGGAAUUCCAUGUGUAGCGGUGAAAUGCGUAGAUAUAUGGAGGAACACCGGUGGCGAAAGCGGCUCUCUGGUCUGU